CAGAGCGUAGCUAAAUUAUAGCAUUUCCCUUACACCGAAAAGAUGCUCGUUAAAGCCGAGUCGCUUUGA
rnacentral:tRNA from 1 species